AGUUUUAUAGUCAUUUUAUGAUUUAAAAUUGCAAAUUUUAAGGUAUAAUUAGUUUAUUAUUAAGACUU
rnacentral:tRNA from 1 species